rnacentral:rRNA from 1 species
UUCCCGACUCCUACGGGAGGCAGCAGUGGGGAAUAUUGGACAAUGGGGGGAACCCUGAUCCAGCGACGCCGCGUGAGUGAAGAAGUAUUUCGGUAUGUAAAGCUCUAUCAGCAGGGAAGAAAGAAAUGACGGUACCUGACUAAGAAGCCCCGGCUAACUACGUGCCAGCAGCUGCGGGAAUACGUAGGGGGCAAGCGUUAUCCGGAUUUACUGGGUGUAAAGGGAGCGUAGACGGCGGCGCAAGCCAGAUGCGAAAGCCCGGGGCUCAACUCCGGGACUGCAUUUGGAACUGUGUGGCUGGAGUGUCGGAGAGGCAGGCGGAAUUCCUAGUGCAGCGGUGAAAUGCGUAGAUAUUAGGAGGAACACCAGUGGCGAAGGCGGCCUACUGGACGGUGACUGACGCUGAGGCUCGAAAGCGUGGGGAGCAAACAGGAUUAGAUACCCGAGUAC